rnacentral:rRNA from 1 species
CAUGGCUCCUUGAAAAUAAUAUAUAGGGAGUCGGACCUGCCCAGUGAAGUAUUUUAAACGGCCGCGGUACUCUGACCGUGCAAAGGUAGCAUAAUCAUUUGCCCUAUAAUUGAGGGCUAGUAUGAAUGGUUUGACAAGAAUAAAACUGUCUCUAUGUAAUUAUAUAGAAUUUUAUUUUUAGGUGAAGAAGCCUAAAUUGAAUUAAAAGACAAGAAGACCCUAUCGAGCUUUAAAGAAAUUAAUAAAGCAAUAUCAAAUAUUAAUUAGAAUAAAUUUUAUUAAAAAUUUUGGUUGGGGCGACAAGGGAACAGAUAAAGCUUCUUUUAAUAAUAAAGGUACUUACAUGUAAUGAUCCAGAAUAUUUCUGAUUAAAGAAAUUAGUUACCGUAGGGAUAACAGCAUUAUCUUUUUUGAGAGCUCAUAUCGAAAAAAAGGUUUGUGACCUCGAUGUUGGACCAGGAUAUCCAGAAGAUGCAGAAGUCUUCAAAGGUUGGUCUGUUCGACCAUUAAAAUCCUACGUGAUCUGAGUUCAGACCGGCGUGAGCCAGGUCAGUUUCUAUCUUUUAUUAUAUUCCAUGAGUUUAGUACGAAAGGACCAACUUAUAAUAUUAUAAACAAUAUUAAUUUGUAGAUUAAAUAUAAUACAAAAAUAAAUAAAAUUAAU